UACGAAGGGGGCUAGCGUUGCUCGGAAUUACUGGGCGUAAAGGGAGCGUAGGCGGAUAGUUUAGUCAGAGGUGAAAGCCCAGGGCUCAACCCUGGAAUUGCCUUUGAUACUGGCUAUCUUGAGUAUGGGAGAGGUUAGCGGAACUCCGAGUGUAGAGGUGAAAUUCGUAGAUAUUCGGAAGAACACCAGUGGCGAAGGCGGCUCACUGGCCCGAUACUGACGCUG
rnacentral:rRNA from 1 species